UAGAGACAAGCCCCUGUCCCGCCUCUCCCCGUCCCCGCGUCCGCCAGCAGAGCUCGGGUUCUGGGCAAGUUCAGUCCCUAAGUUGAGCCCAACCCUGUCCAGCCUCCAGUCGCCCCUCCCUAGGAGGCUCGGACAGCCCCACUGAGCAUGUCCAGUGGCCUGAGUCCGGGGGGUCGCCGCUGGGAAGCUCUCCAGGCCCCUGGAUGGGCAGGGUUGGGUCCCUGCGUGGACGCUCCCAGCGGGGCGUACGAAUGACAGCCGCGCGACUGCAGCCAGGUGUGGAGGGCACAAGUUAGCCCGCGCGAGUAAACUUUCCGCGGUCCUCCUCCCCACCCCCACGCCACAGGGGCGCGUCUCCCCGUGGAGCUCGCCUUUCCCAGCCCGGCGGAGACAAGCACAGCACGUGAUGGGCAGAAAUAAAAAUAAACACUUCCCAUUCCCGGGCCGCGGGGCCACCCCCACUCCGCGCGCCGCAGCGAGCAGGGGGCGCCCUGGGCCGACCCGCCCCCGCCGCCGCGGCCAGAGCCCCCAGCCUCUGCGCCGCGGGCCGGGACGAGCGCCCGGGCCCACGGCCUCCGCGCCUACCUUUCGGACUUGGUGAACUUCCGGAAUGCCUGUCGGAGGUCGUGGAAGGACCUCCGCUUCUCCAGCUCUUUGAUCCUCUCCUCCUUGAGCAUGAGAAUCUUGGCAAAGUCUUCCUCUAGCUCGCUCAUUUUUUCACUGAGCCCCUCCGCGAAACUUUUUCUCGGGCGGCGGCGGCGGCGGCGGCGGCUGGGACGGCAGCGGCUGGGACGGCAGCGGCUGGGACGGCAGCCGGCAGCGGAGAGCGCGGGUGAGCGAGUGAAUGGGCGCUAAGUACUCGAGCGCGGCGGAGUGCGCCCCUAAUGCGGCGCGGGGAGCCUCCUGCUUCGAUCCGCUUCUGCUGAAUGGACUAAAAGCACCGAGGGGAGGAUGAGAAGUCUAAAAGCGAGGGAGAGGAGAGGCAGAGUGCUAAUCUCCAGCCUCUCCGGGGAGUAGGUGAUUAUCUUUCAUUGAGAAACCAAUUAGAGCUGCCCUUCCUCCCCUGAGACCCCCUCCCCCGUCCCCCUCUCCUAGUCACUCCGUGAGAAUACGCGCGCGCCACCCCACCGACAGCCGAGUUGCUAGCAGAGGGCUGGAUCAGAGAGCCUGGUCCCACUCCAUCACACAAAACUCACUCUUCCACGCUAUAUGGUACCAAGGGAAGGGGGUGGGGUGGGGGGGGGAGCUUUAUGCCACUUGAUCCUUGAAAUAGCAACAAUUACCAUGUGAUCUGGCGGAUGACGCAGCGCUUGUAACUGGAUCCUAAAGAGUGUGAGUGUGUGUGUAUGUGUGUGACAUUUCGUAAAUAUUAAACUGCCUUUAGACAGUAACCUGCACAAAUUCAUCUUGGUCUUUGACUUUUACUUCUUUUCUAUUUUUGAUGCCUGGAUGGAUUCAGAAAGGAAGGCGUGUGUGUGUGUGUGUGCGUGUGUGUGUGUUAGUUACUUUGAAGUCUCAUGGUUCUGACCCUAGUAAGAAUGACAGGGCAAUACCAGUUCCAAGGUUUUUCAGCGUAAAGCCUUACUGGACAGAGUGAACUAAAAUUGUUGGUGGGGAAGUUGGAUGAACAUAGGGUAAUGAGCCAAAUGAUUACGGAAAAGAGAAAGGCCAUGUGUUAAUUGUAAACUUUUUGUGUCUGGCUUUUUUUCCAUCUACUACCCUUCAGUCUUGUAUACAGACCAUCCAAAUUAUAUCACAAUCUCUUCCUCAAUGGCUCAGAAGUGGUGGCCACCAGUGCUAAGCUGGGUCACACUACCAGUUCCAGUUUGGGGGAGAAAUUGCAUCUUUAAUUAUCUGUGUUUUGGUCUUACCUGUGCAUCCACCAUCUACCCUAUGCUAAAAGGAUUAUUCUGCACAGUAGAAUAAUCGCGUAUUCACGGAUUCUUACAAUUUCCUUUUUUAUAUCUACGUAUCACAGAGAGCAUUUACAUAAGUCACUAUUUGAGAGUUUGAUUUGAUAGGGAAUGAGAAGUAUUUCUUCUGAUAAUAGUCAACACAUUGGUAAUUUUUUUAAGGAAAAAAAUAGUUGCAACUAAGAUACCAGGAGAUUCUUUCCUAAAUUGUAACUUUUCUUAAAAAAGAAAAAUCAAUGUAUAAUUACUGGCUACUUACAAAAAAAAAUUAUUCUACCUUUUCUGAAACAACUAAAUAAAGGAAAAACAGGUGUA